AGAAGAGAAGAGGUGGGACAGAUCUGAGCCUCUCCUCCUUGGCCCCAAGGAAUGAAAUGAGCAGGAGAUGUUACUGCUGUCAGACGUCUUGCUUCAAAUUUCUCUCAGGAAAGUUCAAGGACCAUAUUGGGAUCCAGAGUGGUGAUGCACUGAACUGAAUUUUCCUGCUCUACUGCACAUAGAGAGGUUCUCUACUGACACAUAAACCUUUUACUGAUGCAAAAACUUGCAGAAUUCCCCCUGGAAAAAGGAUACCAAAACUGGGGAAAGGUACAGUAUACAUUGAACUAGAGUCACGUUUGCAUGCAAAACCAUUUAGUUCCCCCUUCCCUCCAGCUCUCUGUAGGAACUAUCCUAUUUAUUGCUUUGGAUUGUAUUUUUCCCUGCAGAUACAGGAGAAUGCGAAUUGCAUCUCCUUAUUCCUGUGGUGGCAAAUGUGCUGGAUGGGGGGAUUCCCCUAGUGCAGGUGGUAGUACUACAGGAAUGGGCAGUACUGAAGUCCAGCAGAGGUUCCUUAGGAGCCCUUCAGUGAAGGCUGCCUGAGAGAUGCUGUGAUGCGUUGUAUCCCAUACUGGUAAAUAAUGGAUUAAUAGGAGAAUUAGUGCCUAGGUAGCCCAUCAGGGAGGGAAGCCCCACCUGAGGGAGGGAAGAAGGGCAGGCCCAAUUUAGUAUGAGAGCCAGCUGAGAAGGAGGAUGGGGCACCAUACAGGCAGAUCUGAAGUGAACUAGCAGAAGAGACUCUGGAGGUGGGGACUGCUAGAGAGGCUGGGAGUAGCCUUGAGAACUCUCUUCAAUAGAGAGUUGGGAAGAAGCUGCACAAGGACAGCAGGCAUAGUGGUGGUUGCAGUCCCUUUGAGAGAUGCCAGUAAAUGGGAGAAGGUAGGAGCAGCCCAGAGAAGUGGCAAAGGAUUGUAAGGAACAUCCCUUAGCUGCCUAACACACAGGGACCCUGGGCUGGAACCCAGAGGAAAGGAGAGGGCAGACCUGGGUUCUCAUCCCCUUACCCCAGCCAGAGGGGAAGUGCAAGUCUCAGGACUAAGAGGCCAAGAUUGAUGAGUACUGUAUGGGAGCUGAAGGCCUGUCAUAAAGGUUAUUAGACUUUGGAGUUUUUCUGUCUCUUUUUCCCCUGCCCUGGAAGGGGACUGAAUAUGAAAGGUGAGUUGGCCGGAGGGUUGGGACACAGAAGAUGCAGAGCCAGGACCAUAGGCAAUAGAGUGAAAGAACCCCUUCAACCCCUUAUCAUGGUUUGGGGGGCAAGGGGAGGAAGGUGUUUCAGUAGUGAUUUUAAUGACAGAUGCUUAAUCAGUGCCUCUUCCACCUGGGUAGGUCAUGUUCCUCCUGAGCCAAUCCCAUCCACUUUGUGGCUGACUAGGCUGCUUCUGGGCCCUCUCAAUGGAGUGGAAUUAGCAGGAAGCUGACAGCUCUACACCACUACUUCUGGUGAACUUAAUAAGAACUUUGCCAGUCAGGAGUGCAAGGUGACGUUACGUGAAUUGAAUGAGUGGAGAAUGUUAAUUUGGAAACAGUCUCUAUUGGGUUCUUAGAAACAAUUCUGACCUAAGAGGAGGCUGAAUCAAGGGAAGGUGUAUGGCUCAGUGAAAGCUUCAUAGUGAAACCUGAGGCCAUGUCAACCUUGUAGAAGAAUGGAACCAAUUUGGCAAUACCUUGGACCCACAUAUCUGCACUCCAAACAAGACCAAGGAUCCCUCACAGAUAUAUUUGUGUUUUCCUUCCAUGAAGAGUCUAGCAGUGAAAUUUUGUGGCAGAAAUGUUUGUGGAAAUGUAGAUUUUUUUAAAACAACACUGAAGAAUAUUUGCAGAAAACAAAUUUUGAUUUUGCAAAUGUUAAGUAUUCUAAGACUUACUUUCAUCUAGUAAGAUAAAUGAGUAGACCAUGUUAUCAAUAUGUCCAGUCUAUACUCAACUUUAAUUUUGUAUAUUGACUGCUUGCAACAAACUGCUCACCAGUGAUCUACAGUGCAAGAAGCAUCUGCAACAAUUAUUCACAAAUUCUUUCUCAAAAAUGAAUACAUUCAAGAAAACCAUAAUUUUUUCAUUGAUCCUACAAUGGGACCACAUCUACUUCUACCCACCCGUGUGGGUGAAAACUGCUACUUUUUAUUAUUAUUUACAUUACAGUCACCUCUAUGCACUGUGAUGCACACACCAUUGUGCUAGGCACUGUACAAACACAUAGUGAGAGAAAGACCCUACCCAUGACAGUCUUAAUAGAUGAGACAGACGAGGAUGGGAAAGGAAAGAGAAGCAGAGGUGAAACAACUUGCCUAAGAAUUUCAGACUACAGUUCAGUUUAGCAGUCAAAUUUGCCUGCUCAGCAAGGGGAGGUGCAGACUUUCUGUGUCCCACUAUACCAUGGCAGUAGGGGCAGACUGAGUCUGGCUCUUAGUGUGCAGAUCCCUCUGAGAGUGACGUCAUUCUCACCUGACAUGGAUUUCAAGCCCAGGUGAGUAACUUGUCAUAAAUAUAAUGCCCCAUCGACCCUUAAAAUAGAAUUCUCUGAUAUGAAGAUCCAAGAUUAUCUGUUUUCAUUUCCCUAACUGAUCCAGGGAGAUGAGAGAUUUUCUGGCUAUCCCAGAAGGAGGACAGAAGAGACUGGAUGCGGUUUAAAUAGGCUGCUCUUUAUUCCUAAAUGUCAGGGAGUGCCCAGUAGAUAAAAGUGUACAGUGCAGGUAAUUCCAUAAUCAUUUACAUAUACUUGCAGUGGGAGGCUGCUGUCAGCCCUCCAGCCAACCCACUGCUGGGAGCUUGCUACCUCCCACCUCUAGAAUGGGGGGCUAUAAAUGACUGGCCGUACCAAUCAAAGGAGCUCCAAAAACCCCUCUUUCAGCUCCUUUAAAAAAUACUUCCCUUAAAUCCCUUACCAAUGCAUUUUAUCAGAUCACUGCGUCCCUUCCUUGUAGAUCCUCCCCACACUUACAUAACAAGUUGCAACAUCAUAGCCUAGCCCCUGCUUCAUGUCUGCCCAACUAAGCCCCUGGCCUGCUAUGGAAAAGGUUAAAAACCCUCCACCUCACUUUGGCCAAUCCAGUGGUCAGGGAAAACAUUCCUUCCCAGCGCUUGAGAAGAUAGCAACUAGCAUAAGUUCACAGCAGAUCAUGAAAAAACCUGGGAUUUAACUACUUUAACAGGUGUGCGAAUGGAUGCUGCACCACCUGGUCAAGGAAAAGAUGGCUUUUCCAGCGCCUAAAUAGUUUCCCCUCUCUUCUGGUCACCUGUGGGGGGUCGGGUUAGCAUCCCCAGGCUGACAAAGUCUGAAGCUGCCACAAUGAAUCAUUCUCUGGUUAUCUAGCCCUUCAAGGGACCACACACCUUUUCCUACACACCAGACAACAGCCCCCGCAACUUAAUGUGUGGUGAGGUUAUUCUCUUGUAGCACCUUAUUGAUGCAAUUUGACCUUGUUGAGGAAUGAAGCUCUUCUCUGAUGGAAGAGAGGGGUGUGAAGGCGUGUGUGAGUGCAAAGUGCUCUUACUUUGCCUGUAUUCAAAUUCUAAUUCCAUAUUCCGGUAACAGAUCACACUGACAACCAAAAAUAGCAGGGCCUGAAAAUAUACUCACAAGAAUGAUUGUCAUACGAAUAAGAAUAGUUCCUGUUUAACCCAUUCUCUUAUCAGCUCAGCUCACUGUAAUCUUCUGAUCUUCCCCUGGUACUUUCCUGUAACCCUUGGCCAAGAGUCCAUUCAUGAAAAGUAACAGUCUAAUAGUAAUAAAAUAACUCUCAUGCCAACAGUAUGCAACUAAUGUGGAUUAAAUAAAGUAUACCUACCUUGUGUAGGAAAGCAAAUGUAUUGCUUCAAUAAUAGCUCUCUUUAAUGUGGCAUGACUUCGACUUUUGGUUACUCUGUUUUUCUGGCUGAAUUCCAGGUCCAAACUUCAGGUCCAGGUGCUGAUUUACUCCAUUGGUUUCAUUGGGUUGCACAGAAUGUAAAUCUGACCCAAAUUCCCCCUGCAGAUUCAACUGGAUAGAAUCAUCUGUGCUUCCAAUACAAAAUUAUUGAACACAUUGCCACAUUCAGCUCCAGAAGUGGCUGUAAUGCAGGGAGGGAUGAAAUUAUUGGUAUAGUUGUUAGUAUUAUUUGUAUUGUUGUGAGCCCUAGGCAUGAACAAGGAUCCCAUUAUGCUAGAAACACAGAAGAAAGAUGGUCCCUACCCCGCAAAGAAUUUACAAUAUACAAUAAGACAAGAGACGAGACGUAUACAGACAGUACAAGGAAAUCAUCAGACAGUAUUGUUCAGCAUGACUGGCAGUGGUGUCAGCACAUCAGCAGUCUAAUUGUUAUCAAUUUCUUUGUAGGCAUCAUGGCAGAGGAGCAUUUGAAGGAGGAUAAUGAGGGAGCCUUGAGAUGUUUAUGGAGGGCUCUUCCCAAGCAUGUGGGGCAACAUGGUAGAAAGCACAGAAUUGCUUGUCUGAGAAUGUAACACAUGGCUGAUUGAUCAUCCCAUGGUUGCUUCUGAGGUCGGAGUUGGCAUCUCAAUAGUGAAUGAGAGAUGAUAGGGUGGGGACUGACCGUGAAAGGCCUGGAAAGUGAAGACGAGUAGUUUGUUUGAUCAGAGAAAGAGAAGACAGAGCCAGUGCAGGGAUGCAAAGAGAGAGGUGAUAUGGUCAAAGCAAUGGGAUAGGUUUAUGAUCUUAUUCUGAAUGACUAUGGGCUGUGCAGGACUGCGUUUGACAAUGUCAGAGAAAAGGAUGUUGCAGUAAUCAAGACACAAGAUAAUGAGAGCUUGGUUGAUAGCUUAAACCAGUGGUGUGCAACCUAUGGCCCUUCAGGGUAAUCCGCUGGCAGGCUUUGAGACAGUUUGUUUACAUUUGCACGGCUACCAACAGCUCCCAGUGGCCAUGGUUCACUGUUCCCAGCCAAUGGGAGCUGCAGGAAGCAGCACGAGCUGCAGGGACAUGCUGUCCACUGCUUCCCGCUGCUGCCAUUGACUGGGAACGGCGAACCGCAGCCACUGGAAGCUGCAGGUGGCCAUGCAAAUGUAAACAAACUGUCUGGUGGCCCGCCAGCAGAUUACCCUGACGGGCCAUAGGUUGCCGACCACUGGCUUAAACUAUGUGGAUGGAUGGAAAGGCCAUAUCUUAAAGAUAUUAUGCAGAAAAAAAUCUACAUGGUUUAGCUAUAGCAUGGAUGUGAGGACAGAGACAGUUCUGAGUCAAAGAUGACAUGCAGCUUUUGAGUUUGAGUAUCAGGAGAGAACAUAGUCAAAAAGCAAAGGGGAUUACAAAAUUUUAAGAAGAGAAGCAUGGUUGAUAGUGUCAAAGGAGGCUGACAGGUCAAGGAGGAUGAAGAUGGAGUAUUUGUUCUGAGACUUGGGUAGAGAGGUUCUAGGAUGGAACUGGAGGAGAACUACUCCAGACAGCAACUAUAAAUAGAACCUUCAAUGAGCUUGAAGAUGGAACGGGAGUUGGAGAAGCAAGUGGGGUCAAGGAUGGAUUUUCUAAGAUGGGAGAGAAUGCAGCAUGCUUCUAUUGUGAGGGGGAAAGAGCCAGAAGGGAGUGAGACUUUAAAAAAGAAGAAUACAGGAUGGGGAUGAGAGUGAGUAUGAAUGACAUCAGGGGAUGGGAUGGGGUAACUGGGGCAAGUGGAGGGGAUAGGGGAAGAAAGCAGACACACUGAUCCCAUCCAAUGCCUAUAGUUAAAUUUGUAAACCAUUUUGGAAUUGUUUGAAAUGAAACGCCCUCUAGAGGGCCCAACAUUUAAGCCAACAAGGGUCUGUAAUGGUCUAUAUUUGUCAAAAGUUACCAUGCAGUGGUAUCAGAGAUUUCCCAUUUGUUUCUUUUCUAAGUGUGGGGGAAAUCUUGACUAUAACACUGGGAUAAAGUUUGGAUUCUUUAAUGGCAAGCAAUGUAUAUAUGAAAGCUAUCAAAAUUGACUUUUGUUUUAAUCUGUUUACAGAAUAGGAAAAAGUUAGUAUUUCCAUACUUACCCACACAACAGCUGUUCAUGGUACUUGAGAUGCAUCAUCUACCCCACGGCCCAUGGUUUCAUUUACUCCAACCUUUUUUACCCAUAUGUGCAUAUUGUACGGAUUCACCAGCCCAGGGACAGAGAGGGGUGCAUCUUAUACCUCCCCUGUUCAGGAACUGAUAGGGAUGAUUUGGUCCUAGGCUAAAGCAGCCCUAAGAACUACUUUGACUUGUACACCUGUUGCAUGACCUUUCUGUGUGAUUGCAGAACAUAGAAUUACCAGGGAAUGCCCUUGCCAUGGCUUCUCCAACCUCUGACAUGUCCCCUUCCUUCUCCAGCCUGCCCCACCGAGAGCACCUCCUCUGUCUGGAAUAUUCCUAGAAAGGGAAGUUUACGACUGUCCUUUGGCUCCUUUGUGCUGACCUAGCUGGUGCAAAAGAGCCACAGGGCAACUAUAAAUCUGACCUGCAUAUUUUUUGUAUAACACUGGACAUGUCACCUAACAGGAGAGAUCCUCCAAAUCUGACAUUGCCAUGGCAGUUAUUCAUGUCAUCAAUCCAGACUGAUGCAGUGAUGACAUCAGAUAUAUCCCUCUGGAGGCCUGACAUAAUGUCAUUCAAAGGUGUGGGCUUGGUAGGUAAGAAUUCUCAGGCCACCGGCAAAUGCCCCAGUAGUUGAGCAGAUAAGCUCAAACUCAACAUCAGUGUGUGAGAGAAUGAGUGUAAACUUGCAUUUUAAUCUGGGAACAAUAAGGAGUUAUAUCAAGCACAGUGCAGUUCCCAUGCCUAUUUCAAGUACAUGGGGCCUUGGCAGCAUAAAUAAUGGGAGUAGGAUAAUACCCCUCUGCAUUUUUUAUGCAAAAUAUUCCAUGGUUUAAAGCUACUGAAUAUACAAAUGCUACAUAUUGCCUUUGUGGUGUAAAUCCAAACUUCAUCUAGCUGACAGUUAUAAAUAUACCUUCUCCCUCAGAUUGAAGAAUACAAAAGGGAUGCAAUUGGAUAGGAACUGUUCCACUGAAGCUAGUUUUCUCACUCGGUGCAUAAUGAGAUCAGAAUGCAAAAGGAAUGUGUGGAGGAGUACAGCUGGCAGGAAUACUGGCUUGAAUUAUUCUGUGUAUAUUCUCUCUCUAAUAAAGCACCUUUUUUUAAAUGCAGGUGAUUUGUGUGGAUGAUUCUGUUUGAAUAUAAGUUUCAGCCACUUUGUACUACAUGAGCAAAUACAAAUUGCCAGAAUGUCACAUUCAUGACAGUUACAUACAAUGUCACAUUACAUGACAGUUGGUGGGCUGGGCUGUUCCCAUACCUUCCUUUAUUAUGGUUAUUUCAGAGCAUUUGGCAUUUACAACCACUUUGCUGAGUGCUGGAAAGUAAGAAAUUAGAUCUUAAAAACAAAUAAACAAGCUACUGUUCAUGCUAAUACAAAUAGGAAAAAAAACAACAAAAAACAGAGAGGGGAGGGCAGUAUUACAUGCGUUACCCAGACUUGUUUACAACCUGAUUUUGCAAAAGUUACAGCUUGACCCCAGCAUAACCUUGAAAUCUACACAGUAAGAGGAAAUACUAUGUAAAUUAGUACAGUCAAAACAAAACAGGCAGGCAGAAGUUUCAGAGUGCACAAAAAACUGGAACUAGAGACUUGCAAAAUGCUUCUUCAUGACAGGGUUUGCAUAAGCACAAAAUGCAGUUCAUCCAUGAAAUGCAAAUGGCUGACAAAAAGGGGAGUAACUAAUUCUGCAAGACCAUGCCCAUUUUAGAUGCUAUGAUAGUAGCACACUUCCUCAUCCAAAUCUCCACCCACCUUGCCUACUCAAAAUAUUAAACAAGUAGGACCAUUCCUAACCUGAUGGUUAGGGCUUCUGACAUCCUUCCUCCUAUUUAGAUAUUUGUGGGGUAAGGUGCUAUUCAGCAAGAAUAAGGGUACCAGCAUCUGACUCUACAGAUGAAAUACACCCCAGUAUAAAAGUCCAGCACAAGAGCUGAGCACUACUGAAGUCACAUGUAUGCCAUUUAUUUUGGUGCGGCACAGGUCUUCACCCUGAGAAUUAAAAGGGUAUUUUCUCAGCACUUGUGUGUUUUAUACAUUUCACUACACUUGAGCACGUGAUGUCUCCAGCUUGUUUCUCUUAUUACUUUUCUUUACACCAUCACUCUAUCAGCUCAUGGAUAAAAAGAAAUCUUUAUAUAACACAUAUUUAAAUAAAAAGUUUUUUUUCCAAUAGAAGCACUAGUUAUCAGGGCGGCCACAAGGCUCUUGCUUCAGGUGCAAGCUAAGCCCAGAAAAAUUAUUUGACCAUUGAAGUGACACACGAUUUUAUGAGAACAUUUAAGAGAAAAAGAAAGUGUCAAAAAGUGGAAUGAUCUCCAGUCAAAAGUCAAGAACAGUUCAGGCAGUUAAGGGACAGAGGUAGGCAAUCUGAGCCUUCAUAAGAUCCUUUGAUACUGCAAGAAACGUCAGUAGUAACUCUUAUCAGCAAUGUGGCAGUUUUUUUUCUGGGUUGAACAUGAAAAUACAUGCUGAGCUGAUUGUCAUUAGCACCAAUGGAGGAAGCUUACAGAAAGGAGGACUUUGGUGUUAUAAAUCUAUUUAGAAAAGAAAUACAGGUCACACUUAAUAUUAAGGAUACAUUUAUAAAUAGUUCUUAUAAAUGAUUAAUAAAUGAUUAGCAGGUGCCCUAAGCAUUUUAUAGACAUGAGUAGUCUGAGUUACAGAUAGUUCCAAGCACAUCAGUAGAGUGUAAUUAAUGGAUAUAAGCCACAGUUAAUAAGGGCAAUCUGAUGGACUCUAUAAUGAUAGAUUAGCUGCUUAUUAAAACAUCUAUUACCUAUUUAUUAACACAUUAUAUACAUGUCUUCUAUAUAAAAUAUCCAAAAUGGGAAUGCUUGGCCUGAUUCUGAUGUUGCAUUCACCAGUUUUAAUGCCAUUGGCUUCAGCAGAGUGACAACUCCCAAUUUACACUGGUGUAAGUGAGAUCAGAAUAGUCCUGCUAUUUGCAGCAAGGGAGAAAACAACCAGAAGGAAAGAAAGUAGGAUGGCCGAGAAGCUAUGAAUGCUCAAUAUGAAAAAGGGGAAGAGUGGUUUCAACAGGUUCUUCUUGGUCAUCUAAGGCUUUUCCUCUCUGCCUGACAUGCUGUGCAAGGGCAAUAGGCAAUAUAAGUUUGAUGGCAUAAUCCAUCUAUUAUGUGCACAGUAAAAACUGGUUUUUCUCUCAGUUACAGUAAGGAUAAUCAAGAGAAACUUUACUGAAAUCAAUGGAAUGAUAAAGGUGUUCAGUUGGAGGGAGACCAGAAGCAAGGAAAAUAAAACCUCCCUACUGCAUGUGAAAAAUUUUCUGACUCCCUUAGAAAGUUUGUCUUGGAGAAACCAUGAAAUGAGCUCAUUGCCAACUUAAAUCAGAUAGUUGCCAAGUUUAGGAGCAGGGUAAUUUCAGAACUCUUGCAUGAGAGCAGAUUUUGUUGUUUCAAAGUUUAAAAAAAAAUCAUGGCAAAGUUAUUCCCAUGUUGAUUGCUUGAAAUUUUUUCUUGAAAUGCUGAUCUACACAGUAAAGAUCUACCAAAUGGUGGGUCCUGGUUACAGGAAGCAGAAGGGCAGUUGAAAGCCACCUUUGCCCUUGCUCCUCCAUUUCUGUCAGGAUAGACUAGCUCAGAAUUGGGGUAUCUCUAUAUCUUGGUCAGUUCUUACUUCAUCUGUGACACUGAUGUCUAAACAAAGAGAUAUAGGUAACCUCAUCAUGUUGGCUUGCAUCUAUAAUACACAGGUGGAGGACUCUAAACUUUAUUUAUCUUACUGUAUUGUAUCUGACCUGUAGCUUUUUGUGUUAUUCUUUUAGAUACACUAAAUUAACUUUGAGAAAGAAAAAGCAAAAUUAAAAAAACCUGAUGCCAUCACAGCUUAUCAUGUAAUAUGCAAGCAUACAAGUUGUUUCAACAUAAUUCAUGAAGGGUCAGAAUCUGAGACAUUUACUUAUGUUGAGUAGCACCUUACUCCAGGAGUAGCCCUGUUGAUUUUGAUAGGACCACUAUAGCACUAGAUACUAUUCAGCAUGAGUAAGGGUGGCACAAUCUAGUUGGUAAUGUGUUAGUACUAUAAUAUCUUGCUCUCUGGCAACAUUAAAUCUAAAGUGAACUCUAGCUGCAAAGGGAAACUUCACUCUCCAGCAUUCUGGAAACCACAAAGUUCUGUUGAGUUUGAAAAUGUAGCUUUUGGGUUCACUCAGCCUUCAGAUUUUGGCCAUGGAUGAAAAUCUGUCUUCUUGCUUGAAAAUAAAUUUAUGAAAUAACACUAGAAGUGCAGAUUCUGAUUAUUUAAUUUGCUUGGUGAUUAAAACAAACUAUUUUCAUCCACUGAGCUCUUCAGCAGAUUUGCCUUAUUCGUUGCAUAAACAUAUUUGUCUGGCUUCUUUUAUUAUUUGGUAUUAAAGAUAAUCAGUUGUCAAACCCUGUCUCUACUGUGUAUUUUUAAUAAAGAAAUAUAUCAUGAGAGUGAUCAGAAACUGAAUUCUAAUAAAAUGCUGGUACAUUAUUAAGCAGAAUGUAGUCUAUUGUUCAAGAUGAUAAGUAAGUCAUGGAGUUAAAAAAUAAUGAAAUGACACCACCUAUGUGUAAUUUUUUUUGCGGGUGUGUAGAUUUUAGCUUCUUAAUACUUUGAGCAAUGAGAAGCACUUGUUGCUUUCUCAGUAUUUUUAGAGAAUGUCAAGAUAAUUUAAUUUGAUAACUGUGUCAAUGUGGAACUGACACUGGUAACUCAUUUUCUUAUAUAAUGAAAGAUGUGGUUAUCUCAAAUAGUGGAUCAAUAUUUUCCCAGUGGUUUUUUUUCUCCAGAUAUCUUAUGAUAAACUAGACUUUCAUUGUUCCUGAAUCUAUAUUUAGAUUAAUCUUUUCCAUCACACAUCUAUACAUAAGACUUUCAUUAUUUUUUUUGAUUUCAGUGUACUGAAGUGUCUGCACAAUUAGAUCUCAGUUUUAAUUUAUUGUGAGACUUCAAGCUGGUUCUAUAAAUACAGCUUUCAUGACUCCAAGCACCACUUAUUUGUGACAGUUUCUAUAUGAUUUUCAUUGUUUGUGUUCACUGCUAAAUUAUGUGAAAACAUAGUACUAUGGCUAACGGCUAAAUUGGGGCUCUCAUAGAAAUGCAUAAUACUUAAACAGUAUUGCUGACUCUUGAUUUAAUAAGACAGCAGGAGCCAGAUGAAUAUAAUUUGAAAAAUGAAAGUAGGAGAAAAUAAUUUGCUGUCCAACUAGCCAUGAAAACACUGUUUUGUCAAUUGCAGUAACUGUCAUCCCAUAUGUGUUUGAACUUGCAUGCAGACACAGAACAAUGUUGGACAGGCUGCUGUUGGACGAAUAAACAAGGGAUGAGCAUUAUACACAUUAUUGAUACACAUUUUGUUUAUUAGUAUUGUUUAUUUGUACUAUAGUGGUACCUAUAGGUGGAUUAUAGGUUACAACCAAAAUCAGAGUCCCACUGUGCUAGUUGCUAUACAUACAUACCAUAUGCCUCAAACAGCUUACACUCUAAAUAAACAAGACAGACAAAAGCUCAUUAGCCCCAUUUUACAGAUGGGGGACUGAGGCAAAGAGAGAUUAAAUGCACACAGGAAUCCCAAUCCUCAAACUUUAGAUGCAAGACCAUCCUUUCCCACUAACAAAUGGGUGAACCAAGAUGGACAUAAUUCUUGACUGAGUUUUGAGUGUAACUGGAGAUUUUAAAAGUGUGAGAAAUCUAAUUAGUAGUGACUGUGAUGUACAAAGGAAUUACUUCUUUAAGUAAGGUGAAAGUGAAGAGAAUAUGUUUUAUGUGGGUAGAGGAUAAUUUUAAGAUAGUGUAGGAAGUAUAUAACUGAUUUGUCUAGGUGAUGAAGGGAAAAGAAAAUGUUGAUUUGACUUUAAUUUAUGAGGGGAGGAGGAAAACAGCAAUGUGGGGGUGGGGAAUAAAGUAACUUUUCACUCAGUUGUGACUAAGUAUUGGACCAAGCAUGGCACGGAAGAUCACACCAGAUUUCUGUCAUAUCUCUGCAAUAUUUAAGCACCAACAAUAGUGAAUAGACAACGGUGCAGUGUUAGAGUCAUCUCUGGAUUUCCUUGUCUUGGGGGAAUUUGAUCUAAAUGGGAAGAAAGAAAUGAGGUCUCUCCUGUAGGUCAUACAGAGAAGGUCAUAGCUAGAACAUAGCUGAGAACCAGCAGCUGAAUCAGCACUCAAUUAGUUUCCCUGGAAAAGGGCCUGACUGAGGGAAGAUGGGGUUAAUUAUUAGAUCAGUAUUAGCUGGGGAGAGUUAAGGAACUAGUUAGCCCAUUAACUAGCAAGACCAGUAUAAAAGUACAUCUCUUCCCUCUCUUCUCUCUGGCAAAUGGGUUUGAUGUUUGUAUGUCAUUAGAAACAGAAUUGCUGCACAGUACUGUUAAGGGUGAUAUUUAAGAUAACACAAACAAUAUGUUGGUGUGUACAAACUGGAGGAGUAGCCAUUUGUACAAGAAGAUAGAAGCGGGGAACCGCACCCUGUCACAGCUGAGUACCAGUGGAGAUGGAGCAGGCCUGAACAUUGGCAAGUCUAUUCUGCUACAUCCUGCAGGUGCCAAGGGAGAAAAUGAGAAGUAUGGUACACAAGUGGGCCCCAAUUCAGCAAAACACUGAAGCGUAUGCUUCCAUCCAUUCCUACUCAGCAAAGAACUUAAGUACGUGCUUACCUUUAAGCAUAUGCUUCAUUUCCAUGAAAUUCAAUGGGUGCUUUGUUGAAUAGUCAUGGUUUUCUGGAUCAGAGCCAUGUAGAACAGAAACAGCAUUGUGAACAUUGUGGAAAUAGGGGUGGUGUCCUAUUCUAGGGCAAUACACAAGAGCGCAGAGCUGGCAGAGAAGUGUAAUGCCUUGGUUGUCUCAUAUCCAUCAUUAGGUACUCUUUCAGCAAGAAACUCAGUGAAGGAAAGAGACCUGUAAGAGCCAUAAAUAAUCUAUUCUGAAACAAACAAGUUCUUCAUAGAGUAUUAGACCAACCUCACAUCUCCCCCAGCAUAGGACAGAUUUUUCUUGUAUGGGAUGGCUAUCUGUGCACAUACUGUUAUUCACAAUGAUUUAUUUUAUACAGUCAAAAUUUGACCCAAUUUUCUUUCUUCCUUGUUUUGUUUCAUUUAACCCUACUGUAUCAUCCUGUAGAGACUCUACCCACUACCUUACUCAGUCAUCUCUGCUUGAAUCUCAUAGCCUUCUAUAGCAUAGACCACAAGGAUGAGUUGUGCCCACUGAUAACUGGCUGAGAUGAGCUGCAUAAACCAUUCCAUUCUUUCAAUCCUUGCAUGAUAUUUUUCUUGUUCAUGUGAAACAAUAAUAAACUUGUACUUAUACUUCCGAUGCAUCAUGCUCAGCUCAUGUUCAUUUUAAGCCGUGGUCAUAACCUUAAUAUGAAUUGCUACUCUAUAAAAAUGAUGUCACGAUAAAACUGAGUAUCUUCAAGCCUGCCCUUGUACAAAAUGCCAAAAUAAAACUCCUCUCCAACAAAUUCUUGCUCCUUGUUAAAUAUAAGUACUCUGACUCAUGUUCUUUGGUUAGAAUAAAGGGUGUAGCACUCUAUAAGCACUUUGGACUGAACAUUUCAGUCACAUGUAGUUCAAUUAGUGUAAAGCCUGGAGAGUAAAAUACAG